rnacentral:rRNA from 1 species
UACGUAGGGUGCAAGCGUUGUCCGGAAUUAUUGGGCGUAAAGAGCUCGUAGGCGGUUCGUCGCGUCGGCUGUGAAAACCCGGGGCUUAACCCCGGGUCGGCAGUGGAUACGGGCAGGCUAGAGGUAGGUAGGGGAGAAUGGAAUUCCCGGUGUAGCGGUGAAAUGCGCAGAUAUCGGGAGGAACACCGGUGGCGAAGGCGGUUCUCUGGGCCUUACCUGACGCUGAGGAGCGAAAGCGUGGGGAGCGAACAGG